ensembl:lncRNA
GCAGUACAUUCACUUGUUCAGGAUUUUGGGGGGCAGCAGGCUGCUGUUGCAACUGAAUAUUUGGGAUAAUUGGAUAUAUAAAUCCAUAUAAAAAUGCACACAUGUACAUAUAGACAGAGUACCCUGACCUUGGGAAAAGGCUCUAAUCUAGUGUCUUUAUAGAGAUGAGGAAGCAGCUUUGACAAGUGGAAGUUAAGCCCUGGAUGGUCCUGGACUAUCUGGCCAUUGUUUAAUCUUCUUAACAUGGUCAGCCUGAUGAGUAAUUCUGAGCCUUCACCAAGGUCUAAUGUGACACCAUCUGUAACGCGUUUCUGAAAUCUUGUUAGACCAUAUGUUUGGGAACUGCUGAGUCACGGCCUGAACCACUGAUUGAGCACCUGAAAGAGGAGACCCAGUCAGCCCUGAGUGCACAGGUGGAGGCAAUUCAUCUGCGAGACCAGUGGAGCCAGACCUCAUGUAAGGGCUUAUUGCCCGAGGAACAAUCUUUUGCUGGAGAUUUCUCCUAUGUGGAGUUUUUCUGCGAGCUAAGAUCUUUGGAGAUGGCAGCUGGACUGUAUGUAUCAUAUGGACGACCGCUUGUGGGUAACUUCAGACUGCAGUUUUGUCUACGGGGAAAAAAUCAGAUGAGACAUUCUGAGGAAAACCCUGAAGCAGGAAAAAAUGAUGGAGGUUGAGGAAAAUUGAAGAAAGAAAUACUGUCUGGGAACCAGUUUCAUUUAAUUUUCUCUUUUCAUUCUUGUAACUGCCCAAGUGGAAGCAUUUGCUGCUCUGGGAAGGAAAGGAUUUCCCCAUGGAAGACAGCUUUUUGGCAAGUCAAUAAGUUUCUAACCUGCCAAAUAGUUGUGGUGGCGUUGUCCCAGGAAAGCAUUCAGUACUUCUGUUUUGGAGAACUGAAAACAGAACUCAAAUACAGUACAAAGUUAAGACAAGAACCUUUUGCAGCUUCAACAACAUCUCUUCAGCUAAGUACCUACUUAAUUGAAAAACAGGAUUUGUUACUACCUGGUAUCUUUUAUCCCUGCAGAAGAGUAAGCUGGAUGUACCACAGGGCAGCAUGCAGAGUGCAGUGUGUGGGGGAAGAAAAACCACUCUACCCAAACCUUUCUCUAUGCAGGCUGAGAAAGUGAGCUACAGAUGGAUUCCAGAGGCAUCGUUUCUCAUGGAUCAUUCUUCACUGCUAUUCCUUUAGUCUUAGGAGCACUUUAGCAGCAGGUUUGACAAACAGCUCAUCUCCUGCAUUAUGUUGGGCCAAAACCUGUGAAGGUUUAAAGCUUGAACUUGUGAACUCAGUGACUGGUGCUAUGGUCUGCAGUAUUGCUUUAGUGAGGAUCCUUCCUUCACAUCAUCCAUCGCAGACAGGCACUGAGGUGAGAAAGAGAAUAACAAAUUAUAGAGUCGUGCAACGCACCAAGACCUGUAGAAGAGAAGAUUUGCUAAACUGGAACAGCUUAACUAAGUGAUGUUUGGACCUGAUACAGCGUGGUAAUCAUUGAGUUUCAAGGGAGCCUACUGCUUUUGCCAGCCCUGCAGAUUCACCCCAUCCGCACUGCUAAAUGAAAAAGUUUUUGCGUUUCUGGUGUCUGUGUGGAGGACUCAGCAAGCAAACAGCGUGUCCUGGCAGGCAACAUCUGUGCUCUGCACCUGCUGGAAGAUAGUCAGUGCCAAGUGGUGGAAAGACAAUGACAUCUGAAUUUCCGCAAUGCGUGAUACAUGCAUAUCCUAAACAUAUGGAAAUAUCUGUGACUGCAGAUGACUACCUCCAGCUCCUUUUGAAAAGGAACGAAAUUAGUGGAACUUUCUAUGCCCUUUAAGGAGAGAUGUCAGAAAAAAAAGAUAAGUUUUGUGGGGGUUUUUCUGUUGUUUGGUUGGUUUGGGUUUCCUUGUUGGUUUGUUUUUAAAUGCAGAGUUAAUAGUUUUGUAGUCUUCAAAGUCUGUGUUGUCUAAAACACUGGUCAAAGUGGAUCAGUGAGACUCCACAGGAAGACUUGCUUGUUUUGUGCAAAGCUAAAUUUUAUCCCUUUCAUCUACGAAGAGAACUGUCCUUGCUGACACGUGAAGGGCCUUGUACAUCAUCUUCUGUGCCAAAGCUGCAAGAGGACUGUGGCUAUCACACUUAAUCUGUCUAUCAUCAUGUUUUGUAUUUCCUGACUUUGUUCAUCUCUGUUUACUUCUCAUCUGCAGCCUGGUUUCAAAUUUUUGUGACACUGAGUAAAUCCAGAAGAAGGUUUUUUUCCUGUACUGUUAAUAGUCUGUGCAGACUAUUCAAAUCCUUUUAGCACACUUUGUGAAGCUUUUUAAUAAAUAAUUUUUUUCAUUAAAAAAUUUAUAUCUUUCCUCCAGGCAAGAAAGAAGAUCUAUUCAAGAUCUUUCAGUAGUUGUUGGUUUGUUGUUGUCUGUUUGUUUGGAAACAUUUAUUUAUUCAAAGUGUUUUAUUUCAAGUACAUGUUAGCAAUCUCCACAGAUUAUUAACAGUGAAUCCGUUCCUCAAAAGGUAACAGUAAUUUAGUGAUAAUCAUUAGACCAGAAAUAUUCUUCUUUGUACUGAAAAAUUAAG